UCAGGAUGAACGCUAGCUACAGGCUUAACACAUGCAAGUCGAGGGGCAUCAGGAAGAAAGCUUGCUUUCUUUGCUGGCGACCGGCGCACGGGUGAGUAACACGUAUCCAACCUGCCCUUUACUCGGGGAUAGCCUUUCGAAAGAAAGAUUAAUACCCGAUAGCAUAAUGAUUCCGCAUGGUUUCAUUAUUAAAGGAUUCCGGUAAAGGAUGGGGAUGCGUUCCAUUAGGUUGUUGGUGAGGUAACGGCCCACCAAGCCUUCGAUGGAUAGGGGUUCUGAGAGGAAGGUCCCCCACAUUGGAACUGAGACACGGUCCAAACUCCUACGGGAGGCAGCAGUGAGGAAUAUUGGUCAAUGGGCGCUAGCCUGAACCAGCCAAGUAGCGUGAAGGAUGAAGGCUCUAUGGGUCGUAAACUUCUUUUAUAUAAGAAUAAAGUGCAGUAUGUAUACUGUUUUGUAUGUAUUAUAUGAAUAAGGAUCGGCUAACUCCGUGCCAGCAGCCGCGGUAAUACGGAGGAUCCGAGCGUUAUCCGGAUUUAUUGGGUUUAAAGGGAGCGUAGGUGGACUGGUAAGUCAGUUGUGAAAGUUUGCGGCUCAACCGUAAAAUUGCAGUUGAUACUGUCAGUCUUGAGUACAGUAGAGGUGGGCGGAAUUCGUGGUGUAGCGGUGAAAUGCUUAGAUAUCACGAAGAACUCCGAUUGCGAAGGCAGCUCACUGGACUGCAACUGACACUGAUGCUCGAAAGUGUGGGUAUCAAACAGGAUUAGAUACCCUGGUAGUCCACACAGUAAACGAUGAAUACUCGCUGUUUGCGAUAUACAGUAAGCGGCCAAGCGAAAGCAUUAAGUAUUCCACCUGGGGAGUACGCCGGCAACGGUGAAACUCAAAGGAAUUGACGGGGGCCCGCACAAGCGGAGGAACAUGUGGUUUAAUUCGAUGAUACGCGAGGAACCUUACCCGGGCUUAAAUUGCAGUGGGAUGAUGUGGAAACAUGUCAGUGAGCAAUCACCGCUGUGAAGGUGCUGCAUGGUUGUCGUCAGCUCGUGCCGUGAGGUGUCGGCUUAAGUGCCAUAACGAGCACAACCCUUAUCUUUAGUUACUAACAGGUUAUGCUGAGGACUCUAGAGAGACUGCCGUCGUAAGAUGUGAGGAAGGUGGGGAUGACGUCAAAUCAGCACGGCCCUUACGUCCGGGGCUACACACGUGUUACAAUGGGGGGUACAGAAGGCAGCUAGCGGGUGACCGUAUGCUAAUCCCAAAAUCCUCUCUCAGUUCGGAUCGAAGUCUGCAACCCGACUUCGUGAAGCUGGAUUCGCUAGUAAUCGCGCAUCAGCCACGGCGCGGUGAAUACGUUCCCGGGCCUUGUACACACCGCCCGUCAAGCCAUGGGAGCCGGGGGUACCAGAAGUACGUAACCGCAAGGAUCGUCCUAGGGUA
rnacentral:rRNA from 1 species